CAGCAGUGGAGGAGAAGGUAAGGAGAGAAGAGAGCUGAGCAGUGAUGAGAGAGACAGCAGUGGAGGAGAAGGUGAGGAGAGAAGAGAGCUGAGCAGUGAUGAGAGAGACAGCAGUGGAGGAGAAGGUGAGGAGAGAAGAGAGCUGAGCAGUGAUGAGAGAGACAGCAGUGGAGGAGAAGGUGAGGAGAGAAGAGAGCUGAGCAGUGAUGAGAGAGACAGCAGUGGAGGAGAAGGUGAGGAGAGAAGAGAGCUGAGCAGUGAUGAGAGAGACAGCAGUGGAGGAGAAGGUGAGGAGAGAAGAGAGCUGAGCAGUGAUGAGAGAGACAGCAGUGGAGGAGAAGGUGAGGAGAGAAGAGAGCUGAGCAGUGAUGAGAGAGACAGCAGUGGAGGAGAAGGUAAGGAGAGAAGAGAGCUGAGCAGUGAUGAGAGAGACAGCAGUGGAGGAGAAGGUGAGGAGAGAAGAGAGCUGAGCAGUGAUGAGAGAGACAGCAGUGGAGGAGAAGGUGAGGAGAGAAGAGAGCUGAGCAGUGAUGAGAGAGACAGCAGUGGAGGAGAAGGUGAGGAGAGAAGAGAGCUGAGCAGUGAUGAGAGAGACAGCAGUGGAGGAGAAGGUGAGGAGAGAAGAGAGCUGAGCAGUGAUGAGAGA